GACGAACGCUGGCGGCGUGCCUAAUACAUGCAAGUCGAACGCAUUUUCUUUCACCGUAGCUUGCUACACCGAAAGAAAAUGAGUGGCGAACGGGUGAGUAACACGUGGGUAACCUGCCCAUCAGCGGGGGAUAACACUUGGAAACAGGUGCUAAUACCGCAUAAUUCCAUUUACCGCAUGGUAAAUGGAUGAAAGGCGCUUUUGCGUCACUGAUGGAUGGACCCGCGGUGCAUUAGCUAGUUGGUGGGGUAACGGCCUACCAAGGCUGCGAUGCAUAGCCGACCUGAGAGGGUGAUCGGCCACACUGGGACUGAGACACGGCCCAGACGCCUACGGGAGGCAGCAGUAGGGAAUCUUCGGCAAUGGACGCAAGUCUGACCGAGCAACGCCGCGUGAGUGAAGAAGGGUUUCGGAUCGUAAAACUCUGUUGUUAGAGAAGAACAAGGAUGAGAGUGGAAAGUUCAUCCCUUGACGGUAUCUAACCAGAAAGCCACGGCUAACUACGUG
rnacentral:rRNA from 1 species